GAAGUGAAGUAGGAAGGACUUAGACUCAAGAAAGAAGAAGAAAAAGGAAGAAAAGAAGAGUCAAUGCACCGUUGAACGUCAAAAUCCAACGCUGAGCGUCAUAUUCGAGAGAGAAGACACUAUCUGGUGCCCAGGCGUUGAAGCUGAGCGGUUCUUCGAUUAGUGUCAAACGAACCGCUGAGCGGUGGCGCGAUUAAGGGGAAACCGCUCAGUGGCCAAAUUAGACGUUGAGCAGUUGUUGUGGGGAACAAUCGGUAUCGU
rnacentral:lncRNA from 1 species